rnacentral:tRNA from 1 species
GCCACGGUGGUAUAGCGGUUAGAACGCUGGCCUUGUAAUCAUGGGGGGUCUCGGGUUCGAUUCCCGGCGGUGGCC